rnacentral:rRNA from 1 species
UACGUAGGGGGCAAGCGUUGUCCGGAAUUAUUGGGCGUAAAGAGCGUGUAGGCGGUCCGGUAAGUCCGCUGUGAAAGUCCAGGGCUCAACCCUGGAAUGCCGGUGGAUACUGCCGGGCUAGAGUCCGGAAGAGGCGAGUGGAAUUCCUGGUGUAGCGGUGAAAUGCGCAGAUAUCAGGAGGAACACCGAUGGCGAAGGCAGCUCGCUGGGACGGUACUGACGCUGAGACGCGAAAGCGUGGGGAGCGAACAGG